CCUUCCUCCAUCCUGCCCGCCCUCCCCAAGCCUCCUUUGGGGGCCAGAUGGCCAUGCGGCUCUGGCUGCAGGAGGUGGGGGCACAAGCCAGCUGUGUGUCUGAUUAACAGCAGGGGCUGGCAGAUGCAGCUUAUCUCGAGAGCACACAAAGGCAUGGGGUUGGACAGUUCUCCUCCCCACGGCUGUCUUCAAUUUGGAAAAAGAGCUCCUAAAUCUGGUGUCAUUUUCUCCUCCUGGCCUUUGGAUCACUCACUCCAGAAGACGACUCAUCGUCUUGCAGGUCCCCUGAGCGCCAUAGAGGUGGUCCCCUCCCAAAAAAGGAUGGAUUCUUUCCAAAGGGUAGGCCUGGCGCUGGAGAGGCGAGAUGGAGAGAGGCCUGAGGCCAGAUGCCCAGAGCCUCACUGAUGACUUCCAAGGAUGCAGAAGAGCAGAACAAGCCUGAGACAGCUGGCAGAGCCCUGCUCCUUGUGAGGACGUGGGCAGUGGGUUUGCUAUUCCCCCCAUCAGUGCAGAUCAGCUUCUGCUUUUCUACUUAGAGCCUUAGAGAGCUUCCCGCUGCACUAGGAGGUUAAGAGACUCACUCAGGG
rnacentral:lncRNA from 1 species